rnacentral:ncRNA from 1 species
UCUGAAAAAGGCAAACUCCGAGGAAUCGGAGGACGCAAAGCCACGGGCCCGAUCCGCCGCGCAGUUAGGCGAAGGGCAGCCGGGUUGCCAAAU